UACGAACUGUGCGAACGUUAUUCGGAAUCACUGGGCUUAAAGGGUGCGUAGGCGGCUGCCUAAGUCAGGUGUGAAAUCUCCCGGCUCAACCGGGAAACUGCGCUUGAUACUGGGCGGCUCGAGUGAGGUAGGGUGUGUGGAACUUCCGGUGGAGCGGUGAAAUGUGUAGAUAUCGGAAGGAACGCCAGCAGCGAAAGCGGCACACUGGGCCUUUCUGACGCUGAGGCACGAAAGCCAGGGAGCGAACGGG
rnacentral:rRNA from 1 species